rfam:Enterococcus rivorum strain LMG 25899 17, whole genome shotgun sequence.
AACCGCCGUAUACGAGAACCGUACGUACGGUGGUGUGAGAGGUCGGCUAAUCAAUUAAUGAUUAGCCUCCUACUCGAU